UACAGAGGGUGCAAGCGUUGUUCGGAAUCAUUGGGCGUAAAGCGCACGUAGGCGGCCUGCUAAGUCGGAUGUGAAAGCCCAGGGCUCAACCCUGGAAGUGCAUUCGAAACUGGCGGGCUUGAAUGUCGGAGAGGGCAGUGGAAUUCCGAGUGUAGAGGUGAAAUUCGUAGAUAUUCGGAGGAACACCAGUGGCGAAGGCGACUGCCUGGACGAACAUUGACGCUGAGGUGCGAAAAGCGUGGGGAGCAAACAGG
rnacentral:rRNA from 1 species